UACGAACCGUACAAACGUUAUUCGGAAUCACUGGGCUUAAAGGGUGCGUAGGCGGCCAUGUAAGUGAGGUGUGAAAUCCCUCGGCUCAACCGAGGAACUGCGCUUCAUACUGCAUGGCUUGAGGGAGACAGGGGUAAGCGGAACUGAUGGUGGAGCGGUGAAAUGCGUUGAUAUCAUCAGGAACACCGGUGGCGAAGGCGGUUCUCUGGAACGCAACUGACGCUGAGACGCGAAAGCGUGGGGAGCAAACAGG
rnacentral:rRNA from 1 species